GUUUAAUUCGGUUUGGUUCGGGUC
rnacentral:siRNA from 1 species